CCUACGGGAGGCAGCAGUGGGGAAUAUUGGACAAUGGGCGCAAGCCUGAUCCAGCCAUGCCGCGUGAGUGAUGAAGGCCUUAGGGUUGUAAAGCUCUUUCGCUGGGGAAGAUAAUGACGGUACCCAGAUAAGAAGCCCCGGCUAACUUCGUGCCAGCAGCCGCGGUAAUACGAAGGGGGCUAGCGUUGUUCGGAAUUACUGGGCGUAAAGCGCACGUAGGCGGAUAUUUAAGUCAGGGGUGAAAUCCCGGAGCUCAACUCCGGAACUGCCUUUGAUACUGGAUAUCUUGAGUCCGGAAGAGGUGAGUGGAACUCCGAGUGUAGAGGUGGAAUUCGUAGAUAUUCGGAAGAACACCAGUGGCGAAGGCGGCUCACUGGUCCGGCACUGACGCUGAGGUGCGAAAGCGUGGGGAGCAAACAGGAUUAGAUACCCCAGUAGUC
rnacentral:rRNA from 1 species